UUACAGGCUUAACACAUGCAAGUCGAGGGGCAGCAUGGUCUUAGCUUGCUAAGGCCGAUGGCGACCGGCGCACGGGUGAGUAACACGUAUCCAACCUGCCGUCUACUCUUGGACAGCCUUCUGAAAGGAAGAUUAAUACAAGAUGGCAUCAUGAGUCCGCAUGUUCACAUGAUUAAAGGUAUUCCGGUAGACGAUGGGGAUGCGUUCCAUUAGAUAGUAGGCGGGGUAACGGCCCACCUAGUCUUCGAUGGAUAGGGGUUCUGAGAGGAAGGUCCCCCACAUUGGAACUGAGACACGGUCCAAACUCCUACGGGAGGCAGCAGUGAGGAAUAUUGGUCAAUGGGCGAGAGCCUGAACCAGCCAAGUAGCGUGAAGGAUGACUGCCCUAUGGGUUGUAAACUUCUUUUAUAAAGGAAUAAAGUCGGGUAUGGAUACCCGUUUGCAUGUACUUUAUGAAUAAGGAUCGGCUAACUCCGUGCCAGCAGCCGCGGUAAUACGGAGGAUCCGAGCGUUAUCCGGAUUUAUUGGGUUUAAAGGGAGCGUAGAUGGAUGUUUAAGUCAGUUGUGAAAGUUUGCGGCUCAACCGUAAAAUUGCAGUUGAUACUGGAUAUCUUGAGUGCAGUUGAGGCAGGCGGAAUUCGUGGUGUAGCGGUGAAAUGCUUAGAUAUCACGAAGAACUCCGAUUGCGAAGGCAGCCUGCUAAGCUGCAACUGACAUUGAGGCUCGAAAGUGUGGGUAUCAAACAGGAUUAGAUACCCUGGUAGUCCACACGGUAAACGAUGAAUACUCGCUGUUUGCGAUAUACUGCAAGCGGCCAAGCGAAAGCGUUAAGUAUUCCACCUGGGGAGUACGCCGGCAACGGUGAAACUCAAAGGAAUUGACGGGGGCCCGCACAAGCGGAGGAACAUGUGGUUUAAUUCGAUGAUACGCGAGGAACCUUACCCGGGCUUAAAUUGCAGAUGAAUUACGGUGAAAGCCGUAAGCCGCAAGGCAUCUGUGAAGGUGCUGCAUGGUUGUCGUCAGCUCGUGCCGUGAGGUGUCGGCUUAAGUGCCAUAACGAGCGCAACCCUUGUUGUCAGUUACUAACAGGUUCCGCUGAGGACUCUGACAAGACUGCCAUCGUAAGAUGUGAGGAAGGUGGGGAUGACGUCAAAUCAGCACGGCCCUUACGUCCGGGGCUACACACGUGUUACAAUGGGGGGUACAGAGGGCCGCUACCACGCGAGUGGAUGCCAAUCCCCAAAACCUCUCUCAGUUCGGACUGGAGUCUGCAACCCGACUCCACGAAGCUGGAUUCGCUAGUAAUCGCGCAUCAGCCACGGCGCGGUGAAUACGUUCCCGGGCCUUGUACACACCGCCCGUCAAGCCAUGGGAGCCGGGGGUACCUGAAGUGCGUAACCGCGAGGAGCGCCCUAGGGUAAAACUGGUGACUGGG
rnacentral:rRNA from 1 species